GGGGAUUUAGCUCAGUGGUAGAGCGCUUACCUAGGAAGCGCAACCUGGGUUCGAUCCCCAGCUCCG
rnacentral:tRNA from 1 species